ensembl:misc_RNA Metazoa_SRP Metazoan signal recognition particle RNA
GCCAGGCGUGAUGGCACAUGCCUGUAAUCCCAGCUACAAGGGAGGCUGAGGUAGGAGGAUUGCUUGAACUCAGGAGGUGGAGGUUGCAGUGAGCUGAGAUUAAGCCACUGCACUCCAGCCUGGGUGACAGAGCGAGACCCUGUCUCAA